rnacentral:lncRNA from 1 species
UGUUGCUAAGGUAGCAGCAACCAUUUCUGAUGACGGGCAUUGUUUAUUUCAUGAUGGGUUUGAACUGGGGUGUCCUUUCGCGCACUUUCCUCCCAAUAGUGUCCCAAAUAUGCUCGAUAUGGUUGAAAUCCGGGCUACGAUCGUGCCAAGGAAGAUGAACCGAAUUCCAUUUGAACAUUGGAUCUUCCUCCACGAUGCUAAUUUCCAACUUUGGCGAACUCUGCACAACAUUGGAUACGGAAAACUGUGUGUCUGUUCGUUAGCAAAGGUCUCCGAAAUGGUCUUAUCGCACGAUAACCAGAAGCGAUGAGUCGAUCUCGAACAGUUCUUGUUAAAAGGCUCCUGUAUGGCCACCACUCUCUUUUUAGGAUUGUCUUGUAUGCAAUGGGUUUCCUUCUGACCAACCUUCAUUAUGCUUGAUUUUUCUUAGCAAAUGGUAUAGGGGGUCUUCAUUAUC